UGGCAGUCGUACCCAUACCUGUACCCGCGGGUGACGUUUGAGAUAUAAAACUGCUCAUCUAUGGUAUACAACGGGAUGGAGAGCUUUAUAUCGACGAUGGAGACUAGUUCGUUAUCUGGGAUGAAUGUUGCCGGGUUGAUAUUGUCUGAGUGGGUUUCAAAGUUUGAGACGAAGCUGAAGAAGUUCGAGGACGGCGUUGGGCUCUAAACUUUUGUUCUAAUUCACUUCGUCUCGUCUUUUUCGCCAGGAUUUGGAGUAUACGGGGUUACAGGAACGGGAAAGACAUCAAGGUGUUUUCUUCAGUUCAUGGUUAAUAAUGAUUUCUUUCUCUUUGUUUUGGGAAGAAGGGGUCUUCUGGGCCGAUGUCUUUCAUUUCUCGUUGUAGUAGCGGAUGUCAUCCUUGGUUAGUAGUUAGCUAUUUUUAUUAUUAGAUCUGGCCCUAUGAUCCACUUUUCCUUUCGACUCUCCCUUGGCAUAGCCGGGGUGACGAAAGGCGUUGGAUCACCUGAAAUCGUCAUCAUCAUUAUCACCGUUAUCACUAUC
rnacentral:sRNA from 1 species